rnacentral:rRNA from 1 species
AUUGAACGCUGGCGGCAUGCCUUACACAUGCAAGUCGAACGGUAACAGGUCUUCGGAUGCUGACGAGUGGCGAACGGGUGAGUAAUACAUCGGAACGUGCCCGAUCGUGGGGGAUAACGAAGCGAAAGCUUUGCUAAUACCGCAUAAGAUCUACGGAUGAAAGCAGGGGACCGCAAGGCCUUGCGCGAACGGAGCGGCUGAUGGCAGAUUAGGUAGUUGGUGGGAUAAAAGCUUACCAAGCCGACGAUCUGUAGCUGGUCUGAGAGGACGACCAGCCACACUGGGACUGAGACACGGCCCAGACUCCUACGGGAGGCAGCAGUGGGGAAUUUUGGACAAUGGGCGAAAGCCUGAUCCAGCCAUGCCGCGUGCAGGAUGAAGGCCUUCGGUUGUAAAGCUCUUUCGGCUGGGAAGAAAUACGCACAGGCUAAUACUCUGUGUGGAUGACGGUACCAGCACAAGAAGCACCGGCUAACU